GAGUUUGAUCCUGGCUCAGGACGAACGCUGGCGGCGUGCCUAAUACAUGCAAGUCGAGCGAGUCUCUUCGGAGGCUAGCGGCGGACGGGUGAGUAACACGUAGGCAACCUGCCUCUCAGACCGGGAUAACAUAGGGGAAACUUAUGCUAAUACCGGAUAGGUUUUUGGAUUGCAUGAUCCGAAAAGAAAGAUGGCUUUCGUCUAUCACUGGGAGAUGGGCCUGCGGCGCAUUAGCUAGUUGGUGGGGUAACGGCCGUACCAAGG
rnacentral:rRNA from 1 species